AAUGAACGUUGGCGGCGUGGAUUAGGCAUGCAAGUCGUACGGGUCGGUGUAGCAAUACAACGGCAAGUGGCGAAAGGGAGAGUAACGCGUAGAUACCUACCCUCUGGUCGGGGAUACCGCGGCAUAACCGCAAGUAAUACCCGAUAAUAUCUCCGGAUCAAAGGUGUGAUUCCGCCGGAGGAGGGGUCUGAGUUUCAUCAGCUUGUUGGUGAGGUAAUGGCUCACCAAGGCUAAGACGAAUACGGGGUGUGAGAGCAUGCCCCCGCUCACUGGGACUGAGACACUGCCCAGACACCUACGGGUGGCUGCAGUCGAGAAUCUUCGGCAAUGGGCGCAAGCCUGACCGAGCGACGCCGCGUGCGGGAUGAAGGCCUUCGGGUUGUAAACCGCUGUCGAGGGGAAUGAAGUGUAGGUGGGUACUCCCAUCUAUUUGACAGAUCCCUGGAGGAAGCAUGGGCUAAGUUCGUGCCAGCCGCCGCAGUAACAC
rnacentral:rRNA from 1 species